GGGGUUGUAGCUCAGUGGUAGAGUGCUUGCCUUGCAUGCAUGAGACCCUGGGUUCGAUCCCCAGGACCACA
rnacentral:tRNA from 1 species